rnacentral:rRNA from 1 species
AUUGAACGCUGGCGGCAUGCCUUACACAUGCAAGUCGAACGGUAGCAGGUCUUCGGAUGCUGACGAGUGGCGAACGGGUGAGUAAUACAUCGGAACGUGCCCGAUCGUGGGGGAUAACGAAGCGAAAGCUUUGCUAAUACCGCAUAAGAUCUAAGGAUGAAAGCAGGGGACCGCAAGGCCUUGCGCGAACGGAGCGGCCGAUGGCAGAUUAGGUAGUUGGUGGGAUAAAAGCUUACCAAGCCGACGAUCUGUAGCUGGUCUGAGAGGACGACCAGCCACACUGGGACUGAGACACGGCCCAGACUCCUACGGGAGGCAGCAGUGGGGAAUUUUGGACAAUGGGCGAAAGCCUGAUCCAGCCAUGCCGCGUGCAGGAUGAAGGCCUUCGGGUUGUAAACUGCUUUUGUACGGAACGAAAAGACUCUUUCUAAUAAAGAGGGUCCAUGACGGUACCGUAAGAAUAAGCACCGGCUAACUACGUGCCAGCCGCCGCAGUAAAAC